rnacentral:rRNA from 1 species
UACAGAGGGUGCGAGCGUUGUCCGGAAUCACUGGGCGUAAAGGGCGCGUAGGUGGUGGCUUAAGCGUGCGGUGAAAGCUCGGAGCUCAACUCCGAGUCGGCCGUGCGAACUGGGCUCACUGGAGCAUAGUAGAGGCAGGUGGAAUUCCGGGUGUAGCGGUGGAAUGCGUAGAGAUCCGGAAGAACGCCGGUGGCGAAGGCGGCCUGCUGGGCUAUGGCUGACACUGAGGCGCGACAGCGUGGGGAGCAAACAGG